rnacentral:rRNA from 1 species
UACAGGGGGCGCAAGCGUUGCUCGGAAUUACUGGGCGUAAAGCGUACGCAGGCGGAUCGUCAAGUCGGGUGUGAAAGCCCGGGGCUCAACCCCGGAACUGCAUUCGAUACUAGCGAUCUUGAGUACGGGAGAGGUGAGUGGAAUUCCUGGUGUAGAGGUGAAAUUCGUAGAUAUCAGGAGGAACACCGGUGGCGAAGGCGGCUCACUGGCCCGAUACUGACGCUCAUGUACGAAAGCGUGGGGAGCAAACAGG